GUGGGGAAUUUUCCGCAAUGGACGCAAGUCUGACGGAGCAACGCCGCGUGAGUGAUGAAAGUCUUCGGAUUGUAAAACUCUGUUGUUAGGGAAGAACAAGUACCGUUCAAAUAGGGCGGUACCUUGACGGUACCUAACCAGAAAGCCCCGGCUAACUACGUGCCAGCAGCCGCGGUAAUACGUAGGGGGCAAGCGUUGUCCGGAAUUAUUGGGCGUAAAGGGCGCGCAGGCGGUCUUCUAAGUCUGAUGUGAAAUCCCACGGCUUAACCGUGGAAGGUCAUUGGAAACUGGAGGACUUGAGUGCAGAAGAGGAGAGUGGAAUUCCAUGUGUAGCGGUGAAAUGCGUAGAGAUAUGGAGGAACACCAGUGGCGAAGGCGACUCUCUGGUCUGCAACUGACGCUGAGGCGCGAAAGCGUGGGUAGCGAACAGGAUUAGAUACCCUGGUAGUCCACGCCGUAAACAAUGAGUGCUAGGUGUCAGGGGGUUUCCGCCCCUUGGUGCUGGAGUUAACGCAUUAAGCACUCCGCCUGGGGAGUACGGCCGCAAGGCUGAAACUCAAAAGAAUUGACGGGGGCCCGCACAAGCGGUGGAGCAUGUGGUUUAAUUCGAAGCAACGCGAAGAACCUUACCAGGUCUUGACAUCCUCUGAUAGCUCUAGAGAUAGAGUGUUCCCUUCGGGGACAGAGUGACAGGUGGUGCAUGGUUGUCGUCAGCUCGUGUCGUGAGAUGUUGGGUUAAGUCCCGUAACGAGCGCAACCCUUAAUCUUAGUUGCCAGCAUUUAGUUGGGCACUCUAAGGUGACUGCCGGUGACAAACCGGAGGAAGGUGGGGAUGACGUCAAAUCAUCAUGCCCCUUAUGACCUGGGCAACACACGUGCUACAAUGGAUGGUACAGAGGGCAGCGAAGCCGCGAGGUGAAGCAAAUCCCAUAAAACCAUUCUCAGUUCGGAUUGUAGGCUGCAAUUCGCCUACAUGAAGCAGGAAUCGCUAGUAAUCGUGGAUCAGCAUGCCACGGUGAAUACGUUCCCGGGCCUUGUACUCACCGCCCGUC
rnacentral:rRNA from 1 species